AAGCCAAACACCCCUUUAGUUUACCAUACUUCAUUCUACCAAAAUUUAAAAUUGUGCUUCUCUCUCCACACAAUUGGUUGCACGAUUAUCCAGUUGCUUCGUCAUCUUCUUCGAUUUUGGUACACACCUUAAGAACUCCACCACCGUUAGCACCAUGCUCGCCACCACCUUCAUCGGAAAUACAAGCCUCUCCAUAGUACCAUCAUAUAUUCCUUACACCACCAGCAUCUCUCUCUGUAAAAGAAUCCCUAAGCACCAAAACCACAAUAAAUCUUCGAUCUCUCCCUUACACUUUUACCACUUUUAGUUUAUCUCCCUUCCCUCUUUCUCUAUGAAAACUCUAGAUUGUCAAGGGUUACCACUUAACCUCCUUCUCCAUGUCUCAUUCUUCAAUUUUCAUCAUGUUUAACUUUCCUCAUCGCUUUUUUUUUUUCAAUUAUUCGUUCAACCUGGAACUCAUUUAUGCUCCUCCCUCACUGGCAAAGAUAGAUUGAGUUACAUAUCAAUUUCCUAAUCUCCAUUUCAUCUUCAAAAUUCAAAUGGAAUCAUUUCAUUUGUGAUUCAAAUUUUGAAUCCCCUUUUCUCUCUCUCUCUCUCUCUCUCUCUCUCUCUCUCUCUCUCUCUCUCUCUCUCUCUCUCUCUCUUGAAAAUCUCCUCAUUCUAUCUAAAAACACCUGAUUUCUGAAUCGCUACUGCCACAGGUACACUAGGACUGCAUUACCACUACCCGCUUCUUCCAUUAGUGAACCAUUGCAAACCUCCACCGUUAGUCUCCGUUUAUAUUUCUCUCUGUCUAUGUACACUCCACCAAACCACCGACGAUGUCACCACUGACGCCUCUGUCUAUGUACAUAACAGCACCACUGACGCCUCAUCACAACCACACCCAGGGAAUGAUGUAUGUGUGUGGCCACACCAACCACACCGGUCAAUAUACGAUUGUGUCAACAAAGUAGAGGGGAGGAGCAGUAGCUUGGAGAUCAUAGACAGUAAAGAAAAGGGAUAGUAGAUGACAUAUAAAGUUAGGUGAGAUGUGCUUAAUAUGUUCAUUGAGUGGAAAUUAGGUAUGAAUAGCCUUUAUUAGUUAUUUAAAGUAUUUGUGCGUAUGCAAUUAUCAUUCAGAUGUGGAAGUUACUAUUGACAUCCCUAAUGUUUUGUGAUGUUAUGUAGUUGCUAGACCAUGAGGGAUUAGGGAAGAAACAUCCUCAGUGCAAAAGGGGGGAAAUUUAUAUACCAUUGUAUUCCAUAACUUAUAAAUUUUAACGUAUAAUUUUAAGGUGUAUAAUGGUUACCUGCAGGAUAAAGAAUUUGACAAGUAUCAUGAUUUUAAUGCAUGACAGUUUGGUCUAAUUACAAAAGCUUGAUUAACUCUUUUAUUUGUUCAUGUCAGGUUGUUAUUUGUUGUUACAAUAGUCCUUUCAAUCAAUUCUUAAGUCUGUUUUGGUUCAACAUCUUUAAGAAAUCACUUUGCGUGGAUGACUUGAAUUCGUUCAUGGCAAGGUUCCACCCAAAGUAUGCAAUUUUCACUUUUACUUAUCCCUUUAGUUGUGUUAUUUUCUUUGUAUUCACAUCAUUGUAACUUUGUUGCUAUUAUGUCAAUUUGUGACUAUGUUGCACCUCAACAUGGGUAUUAGUGGAUGCAGUGAAUGCAAUGUCACAGACUCACAUGAAGAUACAUGAAGGUAACCUGCUUGAAAUGCUUCUUUUAUAUUGAUCUUCACUUUUAAAUGGUUUAAAUGCAAAAAAGUUGUAGUUGCAUGGUUUAGUUUUUGUUUUAGUCUUUUUGAGUUAACUUGAAUUUAUAGUUUUCGUUUUGAUAUCAAGGUAUCGCUUCACACAUUCUGAGAACACAAUUUUAGUUCCAGGUGUUGAUUAGGAGAAGUUCUUUUCUGGUACACAUAAUCUACUAAAAUGAGUAAGGCUUGAAGUUUGUAUAUCAAUAGACAAAAGAAAUAGGAGCCUGCAUAUUAAGACGGUGAGUGAUGUUUAUGCUUGGGCUUGAGUGAGUAAUAUUACAAAAAUUCAACAAAAUGGUAAUUGUAGUGACAUGUAGUCAUAUGAUGGUAUGGAAUGCACUCUAAAAUAAGGAAUCACAAGAUCUAACUUCUAAAGUAGAGUAAUUUUCUGUUAUUGUUAACAAAGGGGAGAGAUGACAUUCAUGCAUCGAUUUCUAAUCUCCAAAUGAACCUGCUGAAACAUAAAUAUCACUCACUAUUAGGAUUUAAGCCUCAUUUUGUUAUGUUUUAGUUUGUACUCUUUUAUUAAAUUUAUUGUAUCAUAACAUACUUUUUUUUUUUUUUUUAACUUAUGGCAUGCAGUUAUGAAUUAAUGAAAAUAUACAUGAGAAUUAAAGUAAUUAUUUUGUAUAAAAGUCAACCUUGAACUGUUUAAUAAUAAUUUAUAUUGAACGAGGUUCAAUAUAAUUACUAUCAGCUAAUAACAUAGUUAACUGGUCGAAGCAAUUUUUAGAGUUAUUCGCGAGUUUGAUAAGAUUUUUAAAUUUGCUAAAAUAACUAUGUUUGCAAAAUGCAAAAAGAAGGUGCUACUAAUUAGUCGUUAGUUUCAAUAAUUAUUUUUUAUUAUUAAAACGCAUUUAUCAAGAUGAAGAUGAUUAUCUUGCGAGCAAGUGUUGAUAGUUGUUGAAAAACAUCACUCCUCAAUAUUUGUACAUUUUUAAUGAAUAAUAAAAAGAAAAAGAUAAUCUUAAGGAUGCUAAAGUGAUUAAUACUCUGUAUAGCAAGAAAUGGUCAAUUUUAGGCAUAUUUUCAUGCACCCUACAAAUACAAAAUGAACUGAAAGAUGAAAAUACACAGACUUUUUAGUACAAAAUGAAUUGAAAGAUGAAAAUACACGCACUUUUUUCCCUAAAAUAAUUACGUUCAGUCAACCGAUGCUUUGUGUUCUUUGAAAUAACUAUGUUUUCAAAAAUAAUCCUAUAUAGAUUUGUCCAUUCUAAUUCUGAUACGUUCUUUGGAAUAUAUGUUUCCAAAAUGAUAAUAAUCAUCGAAAGAAAACUUAUAGUCGAGCUGAAUCUAAUCUUAUUAAUACACACAUUUUUUUCCCUAAAAUAAUUACAUUCAGUCAACCGCUGCUUUGUGUUCUUUGAAAUAACUAUGUUUUUAACAAUAAUCCUAUAUAGAUUCGUUCAUUCUAAUCCUGAUACGUUCUUUGGAAUAUAUGUUUCCAAAAUGAUAAUAAUCAUCGAAAGAAAACUUAUAGCCGAGCUGAAUCUAAUCUUAUUAAACAAAAUUCACAACCCACUGCAUUGCGUGGGUUAUAACUAUUUGUUGCCGCAAAAAGCCAAGUUGAGUUUACAUUUUUUAGUUAUUAUAAUAUGAUGAUUAAAGGUUCACAAAAUUGUUAUUAAAAAUCUUAAUAUAUGUUAGAUAAAAUUACAUAAAUGGUCACUAGGGUUUCACAAAUUCUUGGUUUUCGUCCAAAAUACUUUUUUCGUUACAAUAUGGUCCAGAUGGAUGACCAAUCAUAUUGUUACGAGAUAUUGACCCAUCAAAUGGAUUGUAUAAUGACACCUGAUUGAUAUGUAAAAGUUUUGAGUAAUAUGUCAUUGAUGCAGAAAUAACUGUUGGUCAACAUACUGACAAGAUAAUAGUUUUGCCAAAGCUUUCUCUACCUCUGUCUGAAGAAGACAUGUUCUCAUUCAAGCUAAAGAUGAAAUAAUUUCAUAUUCGAUUAUGCUUUGCGAUGACAAUCAAUAAAGCUUGGGGACAAACAAUUUUGAAUGUAGGUAUUUAUCUUCCAGACCCGGUAUUCGUGCAUGACCAACUUUAUGUUGCAUUGUCCAGAGGAGUCUCAUGUGGCAAUACAAAAGUGUUAGUGAAGCCUAACGAAAAUUUCAAACGUGAUGAAGUUUAUACAACAAAUGUGAUAUAUAAAGAAGUGCUACGAGAUUAAUAUUGUAUUAGCAGUUAUGUGUUUGUACACGUUUCCAUAUUUGGUGUAUUCUUAUAUAAUUCUAUUAUUUUUCUUUCA